ACCUGCGGACGGAUCAUUAC
rnacentral:rRNA from 2 species